rnacentral:piRNA from 1 species
UGAAGCGUUUAGUGCGGAGCACAUCUCUC